CAAGGUUGAAACUCAAAGGAAUUGACGGGGACCCGGACAAGCGGUGGAUGAUGUGGUUUAAUUCGAUGCUACGCGAAAACCUUACCUACCCUUGACAUGUCUGGAAUCCCGCAGAGAUGUGGGAGUGCUCGAAAGAGAACCAGAACACAGGUGCUGCAUGGCCGUCGUCAGCUCGUGUCGUGAGAUGUUGGGUUAAGUCCCGCAACGAGCGCAACCCUUAUCAUUAGUUGCUACGCAAGGGCACUCUAAUGAGACUGCCGGUGACAAACCGGAGGAAGGUGGGGAUGACGUCAGGUCAUCAUGGCCCUUAUGGGUAGGGCUACACACGUCAUACAAUGGCCGGUACAGAGGGCUGCCAACCCGCGAGGGGGAGCUAAUCUCAGAAAACCGGUCGUAGUCCGGAUCGCGGUCUGCAACUCGACUGCGUGAAGUCGGUAAUCGCUAGUAAU
rnacentral:rRNA from 1 species